AAGCGAAACACGUCUUAGUGAUAAGUCGUGUCUACUCAGCGUUGUGGUUGAGUACUGAUGAGCAGCAACUU
rnacentral:hammerhead_ribozyme from 1 species